rnacentral:rRNA from 1 species
ACUCAAAUGAAUUGACGGGGGCCCGCACAAGCAGUGGAGUAUGUGGUUUAAUUCGAAGCAACGCGAAGAACCUUACCAGGGCUUGACAUACCAUUGAAGUACCUAGAGAUAGGUAUGUCCUUCGGGACAAUGGAUACAGGUGGUGCAUGGUUGUCGUCAGCUCGUGUCGUGAGAUGUUGGGUUAAGUCCCGCAACGAGCGCAACCCCUAUUGUUAGUUGCCAGCAAGUAAAGUUGGGCACUCUAGCGAGACUGCCGGUGAUAAAUCGGAGGAAGGUGGGGACGACGUCAAAUCAUCAUGCCCCUUAUGUCCUGGGCUACACACGUACUACAAUGGCUAUUACAGAGAGAAGCGAGAUCGUAAGGUGGAGCAAACCUCAAAAGAUAGUCCCAGUUCGAAUUGUGGGCUGAAACUCGCCCACAUGAAGUCGGAAUUGCUAGUAAUGGCAGGUCAGCAUACUGCCGUGAAUACGUUCCCGGGCCUUGUACACACCGCCCGU